rnacentral:misc_RNA from 1 species
AAGUCGUAACAAGGUUUCCGUAGGUGAACCUGCGGAAGGAUCAUUAAAAAUCCCAAAACAUCCGUUGAAAUGUUUGCCUUUCCUUGGGAAUAUUCGAAUGCUAGAUGGCAAUGAGGUGGUACGCUUGCGUAGCACUAUUACCGGAAGGAUUUUCGAGUUUAGUACCAAGGAGAGUGCGUUAGUCGUUUGAUUUACAUAUAAAUAUUAUGGGUUCUGAGGGCGAAUACAACUUUUAACAAUGGAUCUCUAGGCUCUU